GAGAGUUAACUUUGAUGCUGCUCACCUCACCGGUGACUGCGCGAGAUGCGUAGCCGGCUGGGGAUCGCUUUUCAGAAGGACUGCAGCCAACUUUGGGUGGAUGCAGCGGAGCGGAGGUUGCUUUCCCAGUACCACUGGUGCCGGUGUCCCGAGAGCACUCCGCAGCCUGCCGGCUCCCCAGCUCGCUGCACUGAACACCUGGCUUCCUGGGCACAGCAAAAGUCUUCCAAACCCGACACAAGCCCUGGAAAAACAUAGGAAGGGUCUCAAGUAGAGGUUUUGAAGGAAACAGGAGGAUUGUGGCUGCUUUCACUCAUCUCCUCUGUCAGAGCAUUGAGGAUCCUGAUGGAUAAACAGCCAGUCGAUGACUUGGAGGGCUUUGAAUACAGCACUGUGACCUCUUUCUUGAUUCUUCAAUUGAAAAAAAAGCCAGUGGGGAGGAAGAGGAGCUGAGACUGAAACCAUAUUCCAGACAUUGCCUUCCUUACUUACCUCCAGAAGUUGCACUGGUUGGGAUGGGGCUCAGGUGUCUUCUGCACCCUCCAAAUUUCCUCUAGGCACUUCUUCCAAUCCUUUCCUUUGCUCAUUUAUACCAACGUCCCGGGCACUGUUUCUUGUUGAUGGCAUAUUAUAACAUUUACAAGAGGGGACAAAACAGAAAUGAAAGGACACAACACUUUUUUUUGUUUCUUCUGUUGUUAAGUACACAAGUUUUCAACUUGUUCCAACUUUAGUUAGGCUUCUGGGAACAUCCAACAGAUGCUGAGUUAGAUGCUAGCAAAAACCUCACAUUGACAAACUGGCUCUUCUAAUAUGUGAACAAGUCUUGCAGACAUAUUUGGAAUGGUAAACAAUAAGCUGUCACUAUCUUCCUCAGUAUUGGUUGAAAGGAAGUUACUGAGCUGUGUCACAUUCGUGCUUUGAGCUCUUAAUACACAUCAUGAAUAAAUGUGUCUGCAGGUAUAUCUAGAU
rnacentral:lncRNA from 7 species